ensembl:lncRNA
GGGAGAUCCGAGCGGGGCGGGCGGCUCCGUGCGGGCACCGCCCCGGGGGGGACAGGAGCGGUGCGGGCUUAAAAUGCUCUACGUGGCAGAGCUCCGUGUAAGAUGAGGCAGUGGCUGCUGCAGUAGAAUAGCUCCGUGCUCCCACCCCGCUGGGUGCAGUGAGCAGAGCUUAUAGCGGAGCUGUGCAAGUGCUGUACCUGAGACACGGGUUGUAGCUUUAGAAACAUCAUCCAUGGCAGCGACUCUGUAGAAAGCCCCCAGAAGGAGAUCAGCCUUUGGUUCAAACCUGCAGAGCUCAUCGACUACAGAUCGUGUGCACAUGUCCGGAUCUAUGAGUGAUGCCGGUUUCCAUAAUUAAUUGUGCCUUCUGAAUGCAUCAUCUCACUCCAGCUAAUGAUCUGGGAGCAAUUAGCACAGCGGUUAUCUUUACAGUUUUUCAGAACAGUCAAAUAAAUGGAUAUAAACUGCUUACAGUGCAUUCAUUAUAGAACAGACCUGUUGUGCUGAACUGGGUGAGGUAUGAGGAGCACUCUGUUUUCCUUGCAGAAGGAGGAGCUGUGCUCCAAUACAGGCUUCCCCACCUGGGUGAGUGGGGAGGGAAGGGAUGCAGCACCUCCUAGCACAGCACUGCACUGAAAGGAAAACCUGAUACCCCCAUGCCGGCUUCCAGCCCUGUGCACAGCCAUUAACGCCAGCUGUGAGACGAGGCCAGGUGCAAAACCUGCACUGCACAAAGCCUCCCCGUAACACCUCACGGCCCACACACAGACCUCCGCCUGCGCUGUGCCUGCGGGCUCCUCGGCUGAGCGCUCACAGCACCCCCAGGCUGUGAGGACACCGACUUCUCCAAGGGCAGAGCUUUGUGCUAUUCAGCAUAGGUAUAAAAAGGGACGCGAGGGAGCUUUAUUUCCUGCAGACCGAGCAAAAUCAGGUGUUGUACCAGAAAGAAAUGCCGCCUGGAUAAGAAAUCCGUUUGUAUCAGAGCAGGCAGUGAACCAACAGAGCCACUGCAUGCAAAGGGAGCCCUGAGCCUUCAUGAUGCAUUCUUUUAAAGCCGGUUAACCUGAACAAAUUAAGCUGUUGUUGUUGAUAUUAUGGAGUGC